UAAUACAGAGGGUGCAAGCGUUGUUCGGAAUUAUUGGGCGUAAAGCGCAUGUAGGCGGCUCGUUAAGUCGCGUGUGAAAGCUCCAGGCUCAACCUGGAAAGUGCGCGCGAAACUGGUGAGCUUGAGUGCCGGAGAGGGUGGCGGAAUUCCCCGGUGUAGAGGUGAAAUUCGUAGAUAUCGGGAGGAACACCAGAGGCGAAGGCGGCCACCUGGACGGACACUGACGCUGAGACGCGAAAGCGUGGGGAGCAAACAGGAUUAGAUAUCCUGGUAGUCCACGCCGUAAACGAUGGAUGCUAGCUGUGGCGGGAGUUGACCCCCGCCGUGGCGACGCUAACGCAAUAAGCAUCCCGCCUGGGAAGUACGGCCGCAAGGCUAAAACUCAAAGGAAUUGACGGGGGCCCGCACGAGCGGUGGAGCAUGUGGUUUUAAUUCGACGCAACGCGCAGAACCUUACCCAGACUUGACAUCCGCGGAAUCCUGCAGAGAUGUGGGA
rnacentral:rRNA from 1 species